rnacentral:rRNA from 1 species
AGUGAACGCUGGCGGUAGGCCUAACACAUGCAAGUCGAACGGCAGCACAGUAAGAGCUUGCUCUUACGGGUGGCGAGUGGCGGACGGGUGAGGAAUACAUCGGAAUCUACUUUUUCGAGGGGGAUAACGUAGGGAAACUUACGCUAAUACCGCAUACGACCUACGGGUGAAAGCAGGGGAUCUUCGGACCUUGCGCGAUUGAAUGAGCCGAUGUCGGAUUAGCUAGUUGGCGGGGUAAAGGCCCACCAAGGCGACGAUCCGUAGCUGGUCUGAGAGGAUGAUCAGCCACACUGGAACUGAGACACGGUCCAGACUCCUACGGGAGGCAGCAGUGGGGAAUAUUGGACAAUGGGCGCAAGCCUGAUCCAGCCAUACCGCGUGGGUGAAGAAGGCCUUCGGGUUGUAAAGCCCUUUUGUUGGGAAAGAAAAGCAGCAGGUUAAUACCCCGCUGUUCUGACGGUACCCAAAGAAUAGGCACCGGCUAACUUCGUG